CAGCAGUUAGUGUGUAAUCCUCACAAAUAUUUGUCAAGACUGCAGAGGUGAGGGGUGGUGGGGGGGAUGCAUUCUCACUUAUUAAACCUCAGGAGACAGAGCCAGAGCAGAGAUAUUUUUGAAGGUGAACUGGGCUAAUCAAAGGCAUGGCCAAUGAAGAUUCUAACCUACUUUUUCUCUACUGUUUACUAGAUGUUAAUUAAACUACACACAGCCUAACCUGGCUGUUUCUUCAAAUUGCAAAAGCAUGCGUUACUACAGAGUAGACAUGAUUUAUUGGACAAAGAUAGACAAAGCUCCACAUGCUGGGUAAUGGUCACCGAGGACAUCAAGCUUUGUGAUCCUCUUUUUCAGGGAUACAGAAAAACAGCAAAUGCAAAUCUUGGAUGAAAUUUACAAGAUCACUUCCACAGAAAGAGUCCAGUUGUUGGAGAAAAACUGGCUGUGCAACUGACUGAACUGAGGUCUGAGACAGAAGAGCUGGGAGCUCUUCCUGGAACAGCUAAUCAAGUUUACAGCUCUGUUCAAAUGCCAAAGGACAUUUAUUACUUUAGAAGAGAGAAGGAAAUGGCACUGAAGAAAACCUUACAGGUGGCUGAGUCUGAGCCCCUUGUUGUUCAGGCAGACAUCAUGCAGAGGGAGCUAGAGAGCUGCCUAAGAGAGUACACCCCUGAAAAUUUACCUUUGCUUCUGUUGCAGGUAAAAGUGAUUUUGCAAUUUGAAAAAUUCAUCUGAAAUUUAGUAGAAAUGUAUGGACAAAGCUGGCUUUUUUUUUUUCUCGACAUGUUUAGUUUGCAGAACUUGGUAAGUGUAAAUGCUAUUCUUUGUUAGAGAUCUAUUCCAUAGUUUUAAAUUUGGCUUAAAGGAACCAAACAAUUGACUGAAUUUCCACUAAAUACUUUCUGUGUUGAUAAUAUAGGGCAAUCUGACAUUGACUAGGACAGUUCCAGCCCUUAAAAAGCUAUUGGCUAUGGCCAGACAUGGUGGUUCAUACCUGUGAUCCCAGCACAUUGGGAGGCCGAAGCGGGCAGAUCACUUGA